UGGGGAAUAUUGCACAAUGGGCGAAAGCCUGAUGCAGCGACGCCGCGUGAGGGAUGACGGCCUUCGGGUUGUAAACCUCUUUCAGCAGGGAAGAAGCGAAAGUGACGGUACCUGCAGAAGAAGCGCCGGCUAACUACGUGCCAGCAGGCCGCGGUAAUACGUAGGGCGCAAGCGUUGUCCGGAAUUAUUGGGCGUAAAGAGCUCGUAGGCGGUUAGUCGCGUCUGCUGUGAAAACUCGAGGCUCAACCUCGGGCUUGCAGUGGGUACGGGCUGACUAGAGUGCGGUAGGGGUGACUGGAAUUCCUGGUGUAGCGGUGGAAUGCGCAGAUAUCAGGAGGAACACCGAUGGCGAAGGCAGGUCACUGGGCCGCAACUGACGCUGAGGAGCGAAAGCAUGGGGAGCGAACAGGAUUAGAUACCCUGGUAGUCCAUGCCGUAAACGUUGGGCACUAGGUGUGGGGU
rnacentral:rRNA from 1 species